UGUUGACAUCGGCGACCUCUCA
rnacentral:siRNA from 1 species